rnacentral:rRNA from 1 species
GACGAACGCUGGCGGCGUGCUUAACACAUGCAAGUCGAACGGAAAGGCCCUGCUUUUGUGGGGUGCUCGAGUGGCGAACGGGUGAGUAACACGUGAGUAACCUGCCCUUGACUUUGGGAUAACUUCAGGUAACUGGGGCUAAUACCGGAUAGGAGCUCCUGCUGCAUGGUGGGGGUUGGAAAGUUUCGGCGGUUGGGGAUGGACUCGCGGCUUAUCAGCUUGUUGGUGGGGUAGUGGCUUACCAAGGCUUUGACGGGUAGCCGGCCUGAGAGGGUGGCCGGCCACAUUGGGACUGAGAGACGGCCCAGACGCCUACGGGAGGCAGAAGUGGGGAGUAUUGCACAGUGGGCGGGAGCCUGAUGCGGCAACGCCGCGUUCGGAAUGACGGCCUUCUGGUUGUAAACCGCUUUCGCCUGUGACGAAGCGUUAGUGACGGUAAUGAGUAAAGAAGCACCGGCUAACUACGUG